ensembl:rRNA 5S_rRNA 5S ribosomal RNA
UUCUACAGCAUAGCAGUGGCAACAUGUGCCUGAUCUUAUCUAAUCUUGGAAGCUAAGCAGAGCUGAGUCUGGCUAGUUCUUGGAGAAGACCCAUCUUGAGAAUCUAGGAGUUGUAGGUU